ensembl:snRNA U6 U6 spliceosomal RNA
GUAUUCGUUUUGGCAGCACAUAUACUAAAAUUGGAACGAUACAGAGAAGAUUAGCCUGACCCCUGCACAAGGAUGCAAAUUCGUGAAGCAUUCCAUAUUUUU